CCUACGGGAGGCAGCAGUGAGGAAUAUUGGUCAAUGGGCGGGAGCCUGAACCAGCCAAGUCGCGUGAGGGAAGACGGUCCUAUGGAUUGUAAACCUCUUUAGGCGGGGAGCAAUGCCGGGCACGCGUGCCCGGAGGGAGAGUACCCGCAGAAUAAGCAUCGGCUAACUCCGUGCCAGCAGCCGCGGUAAUACGGAGGAUGCGAGCGUUAUCCGGAGUUAUUGGGUUUAAAGGGUGCGUAGGCGGAUUUUUAAGUCAGCGGUAAAAUGUCCGGGCUCAACCCGGGCCGGCCGUUGAAACUGGGGAUCUUGAGUGGGCGAGAGGUAUGCGGAAUGCGUGGUGGAGCGGUGAAAUGCAUAGAGAUCACGCAGAACUCCGAUUGCGAAGGCAGCAUACCGGCGCCCGACUGACGCUGAGGCACGAAAGCGUGGGGAUCGAACAGGAUUAGAUACCCCAGUAGUC
rnacentral:rRNA from 1 species